UAGAACUUAUAGCUCUUUUAGAAUUUAUCUAGCAGGCCUUCAGGUCUCUACCCGAAGGACGCCACU
rfam:Otolemur garnettii contig096107, whole genome shotgun sequence.